GGGAAUUGGAAUCAGUUGGCUGCUUUGUGAAGGAAAAAAGAGCGCUCUGAAGAGCUACCCCUGAGAAACACCGAAAGUCCUUAUGCACUUCUGAUCAUCAUGGCCUUUCAAAGAUGAUUGAGUGUGGUCCAGCAAAGAUGUCCACAAGUUUCCUCAGCACUCUAUGCAUCCAGCUGGGGCCCAUCGCUUUGUGGAUGUCAAGUUUGACUAAAUUCUUUCUAUCCCAAUCCUCAUGAACAAAGAAUAUUCAUUCACCAAGGCAAACAGCUCUGGAGCAGGUGUGUUUCUCUGCAGAGAAGGGCAUAGCGGCACACAGAUGGGGGUUUCCUGAGACAGGGAAACCCCAGGGGAAUGCUGAGAUUUGCCAGGAGGCAGCAGCUUGCAAGGACACACCAGAGGGAGAGAAUUCCCCUGAAGCCUGAGAUGCCCUUGGAGAACUGCUUUGCUGCUCUGCAUAUUGAGGAGAAAGACCCAUUCCAUCAGAGAAAAAUUGGAGCUGAGUUAGGCAGCGCAACCUGCUCGCCCUAUAACAACCAGUGUGACUAAGAAAAGGCAAUGGGUGAGAGGCACAGAAGCAUCCAUUUACUCACUUGAUGAUCUCCAGGGAGGUGUGCUUCCUAUCAGGGUCUUGCUCAAGGGAUGUCACUGAGACACUACCAAGGGCUAGAAAUAUAUUAAAUAAUCAUCCAAGAAACAACAGGCACAUCAGGGAGCAUUUAAUUUCUUCUUCUCGUUUGUAAUAAGUCAAGCAAUAAGUACAUAUAGACAAAGUCCAAGAAAAGAACAGGAAAGUCAAACCUCAGUCAAUUUUUAAAAAUUGAAAAAUACUGCUUGACCUUCCCUAAUGCUGCUAACUUUCUUUAAGCAAGGAUGACCAACACCAUGGGCAGAGGUAAUAAGCACAUCUAUCUUCUUUCGGUUUAAUGGAAGCUGAAAGUGUCCCCAGCAAUUGGAAGGAAAAUAUCUCAGAAACACAAAAGGAAAAAUAAAUAAUAAAAAAACCAAAGUAGAGUUUAACAGAGAA